rnacentral:rRNA from 1 species
CCUACGAGAGGCUGCAGUGAGGAAUAUUGGUCAAUGGGCGCGAGCCUGAACCAGCCAAGUAGCGUGAAGGAUGACUGCCCUACGGGUUGUAAACUUCUUUUAUAAAGGAAUAAAGUGAGGCACGUGUGCCUUUUUGUAUGUACUUUAUGAAUAAGGAUCGGCUAAGUCCGUGCCAGCAGCCGCGGUAAUACGGAGGAUCCGAGUGUUAUCCGGAUUUAUUGGGUUUAAAGGGAGCGUAGAUGGGUUGUUAAGUCAGUUGUGAAAGUUUGCGGCUCAACCGUAAAAUUGCAAGUGAUACUGGCAGUCUUGAGUACAGUUGAGGUAGGCGGAAUUCGUGGUGUAGCGGUGAAAUGCUUAGAUAUCACGAAGAACUCCGAUUGCGAAGGCAGCUUACUAAACUGCCACUGACAUUGAUGCUCGAAAGUGUGGGUAUCAAACAGGAUUAGAUACCCCGGUAGUC